GCCAGGGUGGUGGAAUUGGUAGACACGUUGGGUUUAGGUUCCAGUCUUUUUAGGUAGGGGUUCAAGUCCCCUCACUGGCA
rnacentral:tRNA from 1 species